GAUGAACGCUGGCGGCGUGCCUAAUACAUGCAAGUCGAACGCACAGCGAAAGGUGCUUGCACCUUUCAAGUGAGUGGCGAACGGGUGAGUAACACGUGGACAACCUGCCUCAAGGCUGGGGAUAACAUUUGGAAACAGAUGCUAAUACCGAAUAAAACUCAGUGUCGCAUGACACAAAGUUAAAAGGCGCUUUGGCGUCACCUAGAGAUGGAUCCGCGGUGCAUUAGUUAGUUGGUGGGGUAAAGGCCUACCAAGACAAUGAUGCAUAGCCGAGUUGAGAGACUGAUCGGCCACAUUGGGACUGAGACACGGCCCAAACUCCUACGGGAGGCUGCAGUAGGGAAUCUUCCACAAUGGGCGAAAGCCUGAUGGAGCAACGCCGCGUGUGUGAUGAAGGCUUUCGGGUCGUAAAGCACUGUUGUAUGGGAAGAACAGCUAGAAUAGGGAAUGAUUUUAGUUUGACGGUACCAUACCAGAAAGGGACGGCUAAAUACGUGCCAGCAGCCGCCGCGG
rnacentral:rRNA from 1 species